rnacentral:sRNA from 1 species
GGACACACUUAUUUGUGAAGAACAUAUCAUGGCAACCCUAAAGACAGAUGUUCUACAUUAGCCCGCACGUGUAAUUUAUUCAGAACUUCGUUGUGCUGGAUGGAUGUCAUUUCCAUAAAAUUUUUGCUGCGCUGCGCUAUAUGGUACUUAAAUAAAACAGGGCUAUAGUCUUAUUUGGUGUUUAUUAUAACAUAUUUCGUUGAAGUUAGUUACACAAGUUACGAUAAUUAUUCAAUUGUUGUCGAAUAAGCUAUGGGCACAAGACUUGUUUACUUUAUACAGUGUACAAGGUGACCCCUGUACGACAAUGAUAAGAGUUUACAAUCCAAACCCAUCGCUGUUGAUCACGAACAGUGUCCACCUAGCUGUCUUUGAAAAUUAGAACGCUACCGAUAAGAGUUGCGCCAGCUAUUGUCAUUGAGCAAUUAGUUAUUACUUAUGAGCGCAGUAGUUAUUUGUUUGUUCAAAUUGAAAUAUAACUGUACCCUAAAAACAGACCUCGCCUUUUCUAAUGUCCCAUUAAUUAUAGCUAAGUCAAUUGAGAGACUGAGAAUUCGAAAAAUCAGUCGGCGAACAUUUGCCCAAAUCACUAUAACGAUUGCGUGGAUUUAGUAAAAUUCCAUUCAUUUCAAAUUAAUCCAUUUUAAUAAAGUAUUUAACUGGAAAAUCAAUCGACAGUUUGAAUUCAGUGGUCAGAAAGCAUUCCACAUUUCUGAAUUUCGUAUAUGAAGAAUUCGUUGUUUGCAUUUAUUGCCAUCAUAUGCGAGGUGCCAUCUAAAAAUGUUUUCCCAGCUGAGAUAUGCAUAAUCAUAUGUACCUUUGACUAUUUAUUUUUGCCUUACUCCAAUAAAAAUACUCAAAAUAACAUUGUU